AUUGAACGCUGGCGGCAGGCCUAACACAUGCAAGUCGAGCGGAUGAAGGGAGCUUGCUCCUGGAUUCAGCGGCGGACGGGUGAGUAAUGCCUAGGAAUCUGCCUGGUAGUGGGGGAUAACGUCCGGAAACGUGCGCUAAUACCUCAUACGUCCUGAGGUAGAACUUGGGGGAUCUUCGUCCCUCACGCUAUCAGAUUAUCCUAGGUCGGAUUAGCUAGUUGGUGGGGUAAAGGCCUACCAAGGCGACGAUCCGUAACUGGGCUGAGAGGAUGAUCAGUCACACUGGAACUGAGAAACGGUACAGACUCCUACGGGAGGCAGCAGUGGGGAAUAUUGGACAAUGGGCGAAAGCCUGAUCCAGCCAAGCCGCGUGUGUGAAGAAGGUCUUCGGAUUGUAAAGCACUUUAAGUUGGGAGGAAGGGCAGUAAGUUAAUACCUUGCUGUUUUGACGGUACCAACAGAAUAAGCACCGGCUAACUUCGUG
rnacentral:rRNA from 1 species